GCAAAAAAUUGCGAUUAAAUCUCCACCUAGAAAUCGGUGGUUCUUUGAGGUUUAUUAUAACCUAAUUUUGUAAGUCAUUAGUUAUAGAGAAGUAUCCGCAACUUUUAACUAUUUGAGGUUAUUUUUUUUAUAGACUAAUGACAAAUGCCAUUAUUGCCGAAACCAAAAGAUAUGGUGUUCUAUUGCACACAAACAUCAAACAAAAUAAAAAUUGUCAAAAACUGCUUACAAUAUUUUAAUAUCUGAAUGGUUUGAAAAUCUUUAUUUACAUAACCUAUGUUUAAGGUAAAACAUAUAAAAUAUCUUUUUUUUUUAAUUCUACUCUUUUAUAAUUCAGCACGUACCUUAGUAAGAAUACGCCU